rnacentral:tRNA from 1 species
GCCUGAGUGGCUCAGUGGUUGAGCGUCUGCCUUUGGCUCAGGUCAUGAUCCCUGGGUCUUGGGAUUGAAUCCCCCAUCAGGCU